rnacentral:rRNA from 1 species
AGGGUUCGAUUCUGGCUCAGGAUGAACGCUAGCUACAGGCUUAACACAUGCAAGUCGAGGGGCAGCAUUGGGGUAGCAAUACUCAGAUGGCGACCGGCGCACGGGUGAGUAACACGUAUCCAACCUGCCGCUUACUCGGGGAUAGCCUUUCGAAAGAAAGAUUAAUACCCGAUGGUAUAAAGAGUUCGCAUGUUCUCUUUAUUAAAGAAUUUCGGUAAGCGAUGGGGAUGCGUUCCAUUAGAUAGUUGGCGGGGUAACGGCCCACCAAGUCUACGAUGGAUAGGGGUUCUGAGAGGAAGGUCCCCCACAUUGGAACUGAGACACGGUCCAAACUCCUACGGGAGGCAGCAGUGAGGAAUAUUGGUCAAUGGACGAGAGUCUGAACCAGCCAAAAGUAGCGUGAAGGAUGACUGCCCUAUGGGUUGUAAACUUCUUUUAUAAGGGAAUAAAGUGAGGGACGUGUCCCUUUUUGUAUGUACCUUAUGAAUAAGGAUCGGCUAACUCCGUGCCAGCCGCCGC